rnacentral:rRNA from 1 species
UACGUAGGCAGCAAGCGUUGUUCGGAGUUACUGGGCGUAAAGGUGUGUGUGAGCGGUUCCUUAAGUUUGCUGUGAAAUCUCCCGGCUUAACCGGGAGGGUGCGGUGAAUACUGAGGGACUAGAGUACGGGAGAGGAAAGUGGAAUUCCUGGUGUAGCGGUGAAAUGCGUAGAUAUCAGGAGGAACACCGGUGGUGUAGACGGCUUUCUGGACCGUAACUGACGCUGAGACACGAAAGCGUGGGUAGCAAACAGG